rnacentral:rRNA from 1 species
UACGUAGGUGACAAGCGUUGUCCGGAUUUACUGGGCGUAAAGAGCGCGCAGGCGGUCGAUCAAGUCGAGUGUGAAAGCCCCCGGCUCAACUGGGGAGGGUCAUUCGAUACUGAUCGACUCGAAGGCAGGAGAGGGUAGUGGAAUUCCCGGUGUAGUGGUGAAAUGCGUAGAUAUCGGGAGGAACACCAGUGGCGAAGGCGGCAUCCUGGACCGACAUUGACGCUGAGGAGCGAAAGCGUGGGGAGCGAACGAGG